rnacentral:rRNA from 1 species
AACGAACGCUGGCGGCAUGCCUAACACAUGCAAGUCGAACGCGUGUAGCAAUACACGAGUGGCGGACGGGUGAGUAACGCGUGGGAACCUGCCCAAUGGUAGGGAAUAACUGCGGGAAACUGCAGCUAAUACCCUAUGCUCCCUACGGGGAAGAUUUAUCGCCAUUGGAGGGGCCCGCGUCGGAUUAGCUAGUUGGCGGGGUAACGGCCCACCAAGGCUACGAUCCGUAGCUGGUCNGAGAGGAUGAUCAGCCACACUGGGACUGAGAUACGGCCCAGACUCCUACGGGAGGCAGCAGUGGGGAAUAUUGGACAAUGGGGGAAACCCUGAUCCAGCAAUGCCGCGUGAGUGAAGAAGGCCUUAGGGUUGUAAAGCUCUUUCGGCGGGGACGAUGGUGACGGUACCCGCAGAAGAAGCCCCGGCUAACUUCGUGCCAGUAGCCGCCGUAAU